rnacentral:misc_RNA from 1 species
GAUGAAGAACGCAGCGAAAUGCGAUACUUGGUGUGAAUUGCAGAAUCCCGUGAACCAUCGAGUCUUUGAACGCAAGUUGCGCCCGAAGCCAUCAGGUUGAGGGCACGUCUGCCUGGGCGUCACAUAUCGUUGCCCAAUGCCUAUUGCAGUGCAAUAGGAAUUUCUAGGGCGAAUGAUGGCUUCCCGUGAGCGUUGUUGCCUCGCGGUUGGUUGAAAAUCGAGUCCUUGGUAGGGUGUGCCAUGGUAGAUGGUGGUCGAGUUAGAACGAUACCGAUCAUGUGCAUGCUCCCCAAAAUAUGGCCUCUAUGACCCACACGCGUCUUUUGACGCUCAUGACGAGACCUCAGGUCAGGCGGGGCUACCCGCUGAAUUUAAGCAUAUCAAUAAGCGGGAGGA